AUUGAACGCUGGCGGCAGGCCUAACACAUGCAAGUCGAGCGGAUGAGAGGAGCUUGCUUCUCGAUUCAGCGGCGGACGGGUGAGUAAUGCCUAGGAAUCUGCCUGGUAGUGGGGGACAACGUUUCGAAAGGAACGCUAAUACCGCAUACGUCCUACGGGAGAAAGCAGGGGACCUUCGGGCCUUGCGCUAUCAGAUGAGCCUAGGUCGGAUUAGCUUGUUGGUGAGGUAAUGGCUCACCAAGGAGACAAUCCGUAACUGGUCUGAGAGGAUGAUCAGUCACACUGGAAAUGAGACACGGUCCAGACUCCUACGGGAGGCAGCAGUGGGGAAUAUUGGACAAUGGGCGAAAGCCUGAUCCAGCCAUGCCGCGUGUGUGAAGAAGGUCUUCGGAUUGUAAAGCACUUUAAGUUGGGAGGAAGGGUUGUAGAUUAAUACUCUGCAAUUUUGACGUUACCGACAGAAUAAGCACCGGCUAACUCUGUGCCAGCCGCCGCCGUAAUAC
rnacentral:rRNA from 1 species